CGCAGCGCCCCUUCAGUGAAGCGGGAGGAGAAAUGGAAGGGGCUCCGUUUCUCCUCCUGCUUUGCUGGAGAGGCGCUGA